UAAUAGAAUACCGAAAGUUGGAAACAACCCAACUUGCGGAAUUCAUAUCCGAUUUUUCUAGAAUUAAUUAUGAAUUAUUUAAAACUUUCCUAAAAUAGCAAAAACGUCGUUUUGAAGCAUGGUAGUUAAUCUCGCGGUAUACCGCGAUAUAUAUCGCGAUACGGUACGGUUUCAAUCAAAACGAUACAACUCGGCUUCUGUAUCGCUUAUUGAUAAAUACCGCUAAAUAUCGCGAGAUAUCGUAUCGUAUCGCCGUAUCACGAUACGAUACGAUAUUUACGAUAUUAAUCGACAAUUGAAAAAUGAAAAAAAGAACGGCAAAAAAAAAACAAACAAAUC
rnacentral:lncRNA from 1 species